GUGCCAGCCGCCGCGGUAAUACCGGCAGCCCGAGUGAUGGCCGAUCUUAUUGGGCCUAAAGCGUCCGUAGCUGGCUGCGCAAGUCCGUCGGGAAAUCCACCUGCCCAACAGGUGGGCGUCCGGCGGAAACUGUCCGGCUUGGGGCCGGAGGACCCGAGGGGUACGUCCGGGGUAGGAGUGAAAUCCCGUAAUCCUGGACGGACCGCCGGUGGCGAAAGCGCCUCGGGAAGACGGACCCGACAGUGAGGGACGAAAGCUGGGAUCUCGAACCGGAUUAGAUACCCGAGUAU
rnacentral:rRNA from 1 species